rnacentral:rRNA from 1 species
GUGGGGAAUCUUGCGCAAUGGGCGAAAGCCUGACGCAGCCAUGCCGCGUGAAUGAUGAAGGUCUUAGGAUUGUAAAAUUCUUUCACCGGGGACGAUAAUGACGGUACCCGGAGAAGAAGCUCCGGCUAACUUCGUGCCAGCAGCCGCGGUAAUACGAAGGGGGCUAGCGUUGCUCGGAAUUACUGGGCGUAAAGGGCGCGUAGGCGGACAGCUUAGUCAGAGGUGAAAGCCCAGGGCUCAACCUUGGAAUUGCCUUUGAUACUGGCUGUCUUGAGUGUGGGAGAGGUGAGUGGAACUCCGAGUGUAGAGGUGAAAUUCGUAGAUAUUCGGAAGAACACCAGUGGCGAAGGCGACUCACUGGCCCAAUACUGACGCUGAGGCGCGAAAGCGUGGGGAGCAAACAGGAUUAGAAACCCCUGUAGUCC